UACAGAGGUCUCAAGCGUUGUUCGGAUUCAUUGGGCGUAAAGGGUGCGUAGGUGGUGGGGUAAGUCGGAUGUGAAAUCCCGGGGCUCAACCCCGGAACUGCAUUCGAUACUGCCUUGCUCGAGUACUGGAGAGGAGACUGGAAUUUACGGUGUAGCAGUGAAAUGCGUAGAUAUCGUAAGGAAGACCAGUGGCGAAGGCGGCAUCCUGGACCGGCAUUGACGCUGAGGCGCGAAAGCCAGGGGAGCAAACGGG
rnacentral:rRNA from 1 species